CCCCACCAGGAUAUCAGGUCAUUUCUGUCGAACAUUUGUAUGGAAAACUUGGAAUAUAUACUCCUGUCCUAAAUAGGUCAAUAGUUGAAGAGGCAAAAGAUACUUAUUUGUUCAAUUAAUGUUUUCCAGACUGAUGGAUUUCUCUUUUUUUUCUUUUCUCCUUAAUGCAGGUAUCGCUCUGCGGCACGUGCUUGGUACCAGCAGGACAGCAGUUUAUUAGAAAAUCAUGUAAUUGCUUCCAAAAUAAAGUUCUGAUUAGAAGCUGGCAUAUAGCUCCUGGGGAGAAGAUAGAUGUGAUAAAGGUGUCCUUACUGGAAAAAAAAAGUCCCUCUUUCAAAAUGAAUUCUGGAAUGAGUGAACUGAAAUGCUGAAUGGAAGCAAUGGCAGCAAGCAGUUGCUGACUAAGGAGCAGAAAGAUGUUCACAUACCUCCAGCAGCCAUACCAGAAGCAAGCCUUAUUCCCAGGGACAGGGAGACCUUUGUCUGCUAACUAAGCUUAUGUGGCAUGAACCACAGAGCAAAGCUCUUACCUGAUCCCAUGGUGGCAAAGAGAAGUUGAUGCUGAGUACUGCUCUGAGACUGAAGAGGGAAGGCUUUUAACAUUUCUUAUGUUGGCUUCGGGUGUCAUGAUGUUGUCAGUGCCAAUAGCAACCUCCCACUUGUGUUGGGUAUGUGAUAAAGAGGCUGGAACUGCAGAAAGACUGUGGCAGCUUGUCAAAAUUUAAUUUCUGUAAUGGAGAUGUAGGUCUAAUACAAAAGCAUGUUAGCUUCAAUUUAUACUUAUUAGUAAAAAUAUCCAGCUAGAAAUGCUCCUCUGUGUAAUUUGUCAUUUUGCACUUGAGAAUUGUCACCUUCAUCGUCACUUCUCCCCAUGACUUAUUUCUAGUGCUGCAGCAGCUGGUGCUUGUUGCUCUGUCAUGAUGAUAUCCACAUUGCUGUGGCAUCAGGGCUUGCCAGGCUUUGGAGCUGCUGGAAUAUACAGAGGCAGAAGGGAUAUGGGGGUAAGAUCCUGGUCUCAGGUAGA